CUUUCUUAUGUUUUACUGUCAUGAGUGUGAGUUUUACAGGUAGAAAAGUGGCAAGCACUUCACUUCGAAGUUAUAUUGUGAGAAGAAAGGGGUGCAGGAGAGGAGCAAGAACAGAAGGCCACAGUUAGCAGGGUGGGUUGGAAGUCCUGAUUGGUGUGUUUGGCCUCAGGAAAGUUCUUUGGCAGCCUCCACAGACAGGUUUGGUUUUUUAAAGUGCCAAAGAGCCACAAAUUUGCAUGUUAUUUGCGUUCCAGGCUUCACUUCCAGGUAUAUGGGAUGAAAUAAAUGAAUGAACAGUAUUCAGACUCCUGGGUAAGGGGUGGACUCAGAAAUCCAGACCACACCGAGGAUCCAAUCACUGGUCCAGCUUGGAUCGGGAGACACAGGCACAGACAGAGACAGAGCAAACAGCCACAGAGACAGGGGGACAGAGAGACAAACACCAUCAAGUCCUUUUUACCAGGGAGUUUCCAGUCAAAGCAAGAAAGCAAGAUCCACAGUUUAUUUUAAAUAAGUCAACUUUUUAAAAAUUAGGAAGAAUCAUAUAGAUAGGCAGAUAAAGGCAACAUUAUCCCUGACUUACCUCCACCUUUGCCCCUUCAUCCUCUACUUCUAGUUCUGUAUGGAACUACAUGCCUAUGAGUCUGCCUUCUUGAUAAGGUAUAUUGCUUGGUGUUUGCUUAGCUUCCUAAAUUAGUUAACUAUAAGGUCUACAGACUCUAAUACAGACUCUAAGAUCCUGAGGACAAGGUCAGCAGGCUAUAAAAACCUGAGAACAAGGUGGCUUUUAUUUCCAUAGUCAAACCAUCUUUUCACUCCACCCUUCAGGGCGACUAAGGCCAGUGCUUAAACACGUGCUUGUAAAACACCUAGCCUGAGGGGCUUCCUCAGAGUCUCAGUCUAUGAGGGAUGCACAAUAUCACCGGAAAUAAAAAGGAUGGAGGAAACUAUUUAACAGAAAGCUGUGUAGAGAAAAUACUUCCACAAGGCCCCUGGUAGAGACUGAGAACCCCCACCCACCCCAAAGAGCAUGCUAAAUGCUGAGGAAGGUGUUUUUGUUAAGGGUAGAGUGGAGCGUUAGGUUUGAGGCCAGAGAUGAACGAUUUGGGACCACAAAGGAGGUUGCAGGCUGCCAUGAGCAGUCCUCCUUUCUUCACAAUAUAUUUUUUUUAAAUUUUUGUGUUGCCCAGGCUGAUCUCGAACUCUUGGGCUCAAGGGAUCCUCCCACCUCAGCCUCCCAAUGUGCUGGGAUUACAGGUGUGAGCCACUAUGCCUGGCCCACAAUGUUGUCUUUCUAAAUAAAUGUUGAAUAAUUACCUCUACCUCAUCACUGGCAGGCCAGAAAGAAACAGCUUUUAUUCCUGGUUUGAAAAAAAAGCACCAAAUCAUUUACCUGCCCUUGGUGGCUACAUGUCUCAGUCCAUUCAUGAUGCAAAAGGUGAAUUACAAUACAAAUACCAUGUGGACUUAUAUUAUUUUCUGAUUAUAAGGGCUGCAGAUGUCCAGAUGAGAGAUAUUAAGAUCAUGUGAUCAGGGAAGGCAUCAAAGAGAUAGGAUUUGCGUACGAUUACUCAGUAGGUAUUUGUGAAAAGAAUAAAAGUAAAUUGAAUGAGGGGUCUCCAGUGGACUGGACUCUGGACUUCUUGUGUGCCACUCUCCCACACUUUUUCCUUUCCUAGCACUUGUGUUCUGCAAAGGAUAAGGCAAUCUCCAGAAGUAAGGAAUUGAUGGCUACUCCUUAGAUUGGAAUGGAGAAAAUUCUGCAGCUAAGGUCUUGUCGCCUUAACUCUAAAACCAAGCCAGUGCUAAGCCAGUGGCCUUAAAAAUUUAACUUUGAAUCUCUGCCUUGACUUCCUCUUCCCAGCAACAUUGUGGCACUUAAUACCAUUCCAGAAUCUUAGAGUUUGAUAAGACCCCUGGACACGUGGUCCAACCAUUCACAUAAUUGGAAUUAUCCCUACCAUCUCCCUGACAGGCCAAAGAGACAGCUCACAAUAACAUUUCCUCGAGGUCCCAGCUCAAAGCCUCCUAGCCACUCUUUUCUCUCCCACAAAGGAAGUAUGUGUAAGGUAUCCUUUAUUUUAACAGGUGACCAGCAUAACCCUCUGUCCCACGUUUCCUUUUCCACCUUCAAAGCUGGGAAUGGUAGUGUGUGUUCUUAGUAGACAGAUGUUAGGAGUCAGUACAGGUAAAACAAGGCCCUAGACUUAUAAUAAAGGAUGCUGGGAUGAGCCUUGUCCCUUCCCAUGGAAUUCCAAGCUGUAGAUGCAUUGCUCCUGGGCGGGAAAAUAAGGUACCCUUCCCAGUAGUUCAGCACGUGGCCUGUUUAACAAUAGGGCCUAAUAGCCUAACACCUCUUUUUCUGACUCUCUUGGGUAUGUGAACUCCCAGGGUGAAAGCAUCAUAUUCCACCUCAUGCUAGUCCAUCCAGGUGGACCAAACAAAAAGAAACCCCAGGUGUCAGUCCUCUCUCUUACUCCAGCAAGACAUAUUUAAAAGCUGGAGGGAUGGCACAGGACCAGAAACUGAAACAUUAAAAACAUUGGGGCUCUCAAGUGAACUCUUCCCCCUUUACCCACUAGAGCCACUUAAGGGCCAUGUAAAACCAGGCAGUAAUGGACAGGCUAUGAGAUGGGGUUGGUGGAAGUGCUUUUCCAGGUUAUCUCUGUUUCUACCUCAGGAUCUUGGUGCUAACAUUACUGGAUGAGGGAAAAGUACUCUUAUAUUCAACCCUAAAUAGGACUCCUGGGAGCAAUGGUGGGUCCCAGGUGACAAAUGGGAUGUAACUAGCCUCUGUGCCUCAGACCAUGUGUUUCUCAAAUGGGUAAGAAAGGUCUGUCUGAUAUUCUCUGUUCAGGGUCUCGGAGUGAUUCUUGGGAUUAUGGUUUCUGUUGAGGUCUCUAUAGCUGGCAUCUAGUGCUUAUCAUCCCUCAAAUAUUCCUUUUUUAGGGAAGGCAGGUGAAUAUGAGCAGUGGACACAGGAGAAAGGGGAACACAGGAGAAAAAAGUCUUAUUUAGUUUAAAGUAAAUUACAUAAG
rnacentral:lncRNA from 1 species